rnacentral:rRNA from 1 species
GACGAACGCUGGCGGCGUGCCUAAUACAUGCAAGUUGAGCGAUGAAGAUUGGUGCUUGCCCCAAUUUGAAGAGCAGCGAACGGGUGAGUAACGCGUGGGGAAUCUGCCUUUGAGCGGGGGACAACAUUUGGAAACGAAUGCUAAUACCGCAUAACAACUUUAAACAUAAGUUUUAAGUUUGAAAGAUGCAAUUGCAUCACUCAAAGAUGAUCCCGCGUUGUAUUAGCUAGUUGGUGAGGUAAAGGCUCACCAAGGCGAUGAUACAUAGCCGACCUGAGAGGGUGAUCGGCCACAUUGGGACUGAGACACGGCCCAAACUCCUACGGGAGGCAGCAGUAGGGAAUCUUCGGCAAUGGACGAAAGUCUGACCGAGCAACGCCGCGGGAGUGAAGAAGGGUUUCGGAUCGUAAAACUCUGUUGGUAGAGAAGAACGUUGGUGAGAGUGGAAAGCUCAUCAAGUGACGGUAACUACACAGAAAGGGACGGCUAACUACGUG